AGGUUUCGACUGAAGCUGCAGGACACAACCUGACACUGAGCCGACAUGAACUGGAAUGUCUCAUUACCGAGGUGAAUGGAACGUUGUAUGUUUAUGUUGUUUUUGGUGUAUAAAACUGUAUAUCUUUUAUUUUUAUCUGAAUAUUUCCAAAUAGUGCUGGUUUACCCAUCUCCCAUGUUAAAUUCUAUAUCUGUGUGUUACUUGUGUUUAUGGAUAACUAGUGGAACAGAAAAGUGAAAAGCUGGAGAAUAAAUGCCAUUUCAUUUUUUUUUUUUCAGCAUUCUUUUAGUAAAUAUGCAGACUAACAGGAUUCUCACUGAAGUGAUAAUUCAAAGUGAAUUUUUAAGGCCAGAGAAUCUGAAUAGAAAGCCUACCUGAGUUAGAGUGUUUUUCCAUUUUGACCUUAAAGGAACACUAUAGAGUCAGGAAAACAAACAUGUAUUCAUGACACUAUAGUGUUAAAAACACCAUAUAGCCCCCCUAAAUAUAGUAAAAAAAAAUUCUAGUCGGCUGGUACUGAUUCUGCCCCCGAUCUGCCGGCUUGGCUGACAUCCUCAGAAGUGGUGAUUUCGGCCAAUCACAAUGCUUUCCCAAUAGGAAAGCAUUGGAUUGGCUGAACUUGUCAAGGAGGCAAAGCCAGCACAAGCCAAACACACCAAUGGCCAAUCAGCAUCUCCUCAUAGAGAUGCAUUAAAUCAAUGUAUCUCUGUGAGGAAAGUUCAGUGUCUGCAGCACUGCCCCAGGAAGCAGCUCUAGUAGCCAUCUGAGGAGUGGCCAGUGAAGUUAUCACUAGGCUGUAAUGUAAACACUGCAUUUUCUCUGAAAAGACAGUGUUUACAGCAAAAAGCCUGAAGGUACACCGGUACAAAUACAAUAAGCUGUAGUUCUGGUGACUAAAGUGUCCCUUUAAAUGUGAAAUUCUCUUUGAAUUAAUCUUGAAUUCUCACUUUAGUGAAUAACCCUAUAAUACUACAUUUGCCACUAUUUAUCUUCUAACAUCCCAAACCUACCCUAAUCAUCGUCCAGUUAGUGUAUUCAUUUCUAGAGACCUAGAUAACUGCAGAACCAUGAUGCAACAAGUAUAGAAAUUCCUAUAUUAACUAUGUUAUUAUUAUUUAUAAAUCACUAACAAGUUCUGCAACGCUGUACAAUAGGUGAACUAACUGACAAGUUUUUGUAACAAGAUGAGCUGGACACACUGAAACGCAGGUAUUAACAGGGCUACUCACUAAAGUGAGAAUUCAAAGUGAAUUUCAAAUCUAAGGCCAAAGUAACAGAAAUCAAAGCAUUGCUGACUUAGAUAUUUUUUAAAUUUUGUCCUUAAAUUUGAAAUUCACAUUAAAUUCUUACUUUACUGAAUAGCCCUGUUUUUAUUUUAAGGGCACUCAGGUCAAGGCACAUCAAACUUAACUUUUUUCACCCCAUCCCCCUUUCUUUUCAAUGCCCUACAAUUUUUAAAUAUUUGAAUUUAAAACUUUAACUGCAGCGCAUGAUAGCUGUUAUAACCUGACUUUGUCUGGAUUAUGCAGCUUUCCUACAUAAUCUUCUUCACCAGCGAUGGCGAGACCUAUGGCAUAAACCUCUCUGUGGGCAUGCAGCCAUAUGUCGCUGGCAGAGUGCCCAGUGGUGUAAUCACCCUAGCGGAUGCCUUGUUAGCCUUGUGUCCUGGGGGGCCCAAGAGCUGGCCAGCUUGUUUACAUUUGCGCACCCCCCGAGGUAGGCGGCAGUUUGAUUUGCGGUCGGGCGGGGAGCCGUAAUUUGACGUCAGACCAGCUCCUGGCAUUACUAAGCGGCGCACGCGAGGGAGCUGAGCAGGAAGAUCAGAGCUCCCUCGCUGCCUACUCUGCCAGUUUGCCCCUGCCUGCCUGUCCAGCAGCACAAGCAGCUCCUGCAGCCCUACUGGACUUCAGGUGAGGAAUCCACUCCAGUUCUCCCACACAGGUAGGGUGAAGUUAAAUUAAAAUUUUAAAAAAUAAUAAUAGUAAUUUGAGAGUGUUGGGGGAAAUGUGUAUGAGUGUGUGUCUGUCAGUUUGUGUAUGUCAGUGUGUGGGUCAGUGGGUGAGUGUGUGUGUGUCUGUCAGUGAGGGUAUAGGUCUGUCAAUGAGUGAGUGUGUGUGUCUGUCAGUCAGUCAGUAUGUGUGUUUAUCAGUGUGUGUCUGGGUAAUAGUGUGUGACUGUCAGAGUGUGUCAAAUCAGUGAGUGUGUGUCUGUCAGUGAAAGUGUGUGGUGGCUAAACAGUGUGCAUUUCAGUGCAUACAUUAGUAGGGGAGUGUCUGUCAGUCAAAGUGUGGGCGGCCUUGACAGGAAGGGGUGGGAAAAAAUGUAAAUUAGGGGGAGUGCCUGAGUUUGUUCAUGCCUAGGGCAGCACAAAUUCAAAAUACACCACUGCCCACGUGUCCCAGUUCGCCCGGGACAGUCCCAGAUUUUGCGAGUCUCUCCCAAACACCCUCAUUCCUGGGCAAUGUAGUGUCCCGGAAUGAGCUGAGCUGCACCGCCGCUGCAGUGGCAGAUCCGGGGAAGGUGAGGGGGGGCAAUGGAGCCCCUCCUGAGAAAUUUGUGCAGCUCCCAUAGGGGAACUACCUCACCAGGGGCCCGGUCGGGUGCUGCAGCCCUUUGGCAGACUGGGCCCCUUUAAUGUUGCAGAGAGUGCUGGGAGGAAGGGACUCUUACUUCCUCCCAGCAUACAGACUGCGUGGACUGACAGCACACUGAAGAAGCAACUGAAGAAUAGCUCUUAUUAGAAAAUGAUAGACGUUGGUCUGAGUAAGUGCGGAAGCUAGCAAAGUAAUGUUUUUGUAAGAAUCCUAGAACAUUUUUUGUAGGGGCUUCCAAAAACAUGCACUGAUCAGCCACAACAUUAAACCAACUUGCCUAAUAUCGUGUUGAUCCCCCCCACUGCUACUGACACAGCUCUGAUGUGUUGAGACAUCGACUCCACAAGACCUCUGAAUGCAACCUGUGCCCUGUGGCCAAGGCAACACCUUGAACUCUGUCAUGUUCCUCAAACCAUUCCUGAACAAUUUUUGCAGUGUAGCAUUGUGAAUUAUGCUGCUGAAAGUACCAUCAGUUAACACCAUUGCCAUGAAGGGGGCACAUAGUCUUCAACACUCUCUAGGUAGAUGGUAUGUGUCAAAGUAACAUCCACAUGAAUGCCAGGACUCAAGGUUUCCCAGCAGAACAUUGCUCAUAGUAUAACACUGACUGCCAGCCUGCCUUUUUUCCAUACUGCAUCCUGUUGCCAUCUUUUCCAACGCAUAUGCACCAGGCCAGCCACCUGAUCUAAAAGGAAACGCAAUCAGACCAGGCAACCUUCUUCCAUAAUUCUAUGGUCAAGCUCUGACGCUCACGAAGGUGCUGAGGUGGACAUGUGUAAUCAUAGGCACUCUGACUGGCCUGUGGCUUCAUAGCCCCAUACGCAGAAAACUGCCAUACACGGUGUGUUUUGACUGCACAUCCAUGUGAUCGGACCAAACAGACUAGCUUUGGCUCCUCACAUGCCACGAUAAGCCUUAGGGACCUAUAACCCUGAUGCCGGCUCCCCUGUAGUCCUUCCUUGCCCCACUUUUGGUCCUUGUUAAAGACACUUAGAUCUUUUCACUUGCCCAUUUUUCCAGCUUCCAACACAUGAAAUUCAAGAAUUGACUAUUCACUUGCUGCCUAAUAUAACCCCCCCUACCCCCCGACAGGUGUCAUUGUAACUAUAUAAUCAAUGAUAUUCACUUCACCUGUCAGUGGUUUUAAUGUUGUGGCUGAUCAGUAAAUAUCCUAGCUCUGAUGGGCAAGAAUACGUUUGAAUUUAUCAUUAUUUAAUUUUACUAAAGACCACACUGAUGUAUUUUUUAAAAUAAUUAUAUUUAAACAAUAUUUUGUAACUGAAAACCAAUUUUGUUUUACAGCUUUUGGCUAGAUAAAUGGCUUUUCUAUAUCUGUCUCUGGGAAUGUACCCGAAGAAAACUGGUCUUACAGCUUCAGAACAAGGAGAGGAUAAACUGAACAGGUUUUGGUGAACAGAUUUUCCAACAGGAGAAAUAGUCCGGUGUUAACCUGACACCUUAAACAGCAAUUUCUAUGGCUAACUGGAAAGUCUCCCAUGGACCCAAACUACACUGAUUUACAAGUCUACAAUGCCAAGGCUUCACUAUAUGUAGCAGGAGAGCUCAGAAAGGAUCCUUUGAC